rnacentral:rRNA from 1 species
AACGUAGGACACAAGCGUUAUCCGGAGUUACUGGGCGUAAAGGGCGUUUAGGCGGGUGAUUAAGUUCGCUAUGAAAGCGCCAGGCUAAACCUGGCGAGGCUGGCGGAUACUGGUCAUCUGGAGUGAGUCAGAGGAAGGUAGAAUUCCGCGUGUAGUGGUGAGAUGCGUAGAGAUGCGGAGGAAUACCAGUGGCGAAGGCGGCCUUCUGGGACUCAACUGACGCUGAAGCGCGAAAGCAUGGGGAGCGAACGGG